UACGGGGGGAGCAAGCGUUGUUCGGAUUUACUGGGCGUAAAGGGCGCGUAGGCGGUCAGCACAAGUCAGUUGUGAAAUCUCCGGGCCUAACUCGGAAAGGUCAACUGAUACUGUGCGACUAGAGUGCAGAAGGGGCAACUGGAAUUCUCGGUGUGGCGGUGAAAUGCGUAGAUAUCGAGAGGAACACCUGCGGCGAAGGCGGGUUGCUGGGCUGACACUGACGCUGAUGCGCGAAAGCCAGGGGAGCGAACGGG
rnacentral:rRNA from 1 species